GCAAAGAUAUACAUAAAGUACUAACUAUUGCUUCUUUCGAACAAAUGUUGAUUUUAUAAAAUUAUAAUUUUGAGUAACUACACACUCAAACGACACAUGAACAUAAUAAGGCUAUAUUACAUGUACAUCCUUUUCAUGUCUCCCAUGUAAAGUAUUAAAAUUAAAUAAAAUAAAUAAACUAAAAUUGACAACAACAACAGAAUGCAUAAACAAAUUAUUACUUUAUAGUAAAUAGUAUAUCUUUCUUGCCAUUGGAAUAAUAUGAUAGUGGCAGACCCUAAUGACAAGACUUCAGUGUGUAUCUCUCUAAAGUUUAAUGAAAUGUAGACAUUAGGAUUAUGUUGGGGCACGGAAGUGUUGCCGCCAAGUCAAGCACAUCCGUACCCGUGGCUAUACCGUACUGACACACUAACCUAUCAUGAAAAUUGUAAAAGAAGGAAUAUAUGAAAAUCCUAAAAUAUUAUUCAUUUUUUUAAUGAACGGUACUAUAAUUAUAAAAGAAUAAUCUAAUACAAAAUCUACUAUUUAAGUCAAUCUUCACAGUGCACUUAAGAUUUAAUUAUUUUAUUAAAAAAAUAUAUUGUCAUGCAAUUGGCAAAUCAUUAUAAUUAUUUUUGAUGGAAUUUGCAUGUUACGCGAUAUCUUUUCUGUAUUAUAUUUGAUAUUUUUUAAGUGAAUAAAAUUUAUUCUCGUAUUGAUUC